CUGCCCCCUAGGGGCCUCUUCCCAAGCACCUAGAACUUUCCAAAGUGUGCUUGGAAUUUAACACCUUGUUCUUGACGAGCAAAAGUACCCUGAUAAGACCGGCUUUCUUCCUCUACGGCCCAGGAGUUUCUCCAGGUGGCAUUCCUGUCGCCUUGAGGUGGAACGUCAGUAGAGGCUCGAGGCUGAAGCAAGCACAAUACUUAAGUCAUUAUAGAGACUCGGAUUCGUACAGGAACAUUCGAAAACUUAGGAAAUCCUUAGGACAAUAAUGAACAUUUGAACCUAUCUACCGAGAAGAUUCGCCUCUCCUUGCCAACCACUUGGAGCCAUCAGUCCGAACCCGUCGAGACAUAAGCAUUCCAGUUCUACAGGAACUAGAUCGUUAGAGAAAAAGCAAGUCAUCUGUCUGUGAGGGAACAGUCAACCCGGCCAGGUGAGAGUGGUGACAGCUUUAUUAUAUAGAGGGAAAAACACCUUUAACUUGUUAGGUGCUGGGAUUGGUCAGGAGGAAUCUCAAACCACAAAUUCUUUGUUCUAGUUGCAACCCCCACAUCAUUAAAUGGAGAAUGUCUGUAAUUGGGCACAUUAGUUAGUAACACGUCAGACACUGCCCACUACAGAUCCUUCCUCUUCAAGGAUGUCAUUUCAUUUUAUAAGGCAACCCAGAUCUGCCUUAA